UACGAAGGUGGCAAGCGUUGUUCGGAUUUACUGGGCGUAAAGGGCGCGUAGGCGGCGUGUCAAGUCAAUUGUGAAAUCUCCGGGCUUAACUCGGAACGGUCAAUUGAUACUGAUGUGCUAGAGUGCAGAAGGGGCAAUCGGAAUUCUUGGUGUAGCGGUGAAAUGCGUAGAUAUCAAGAGGAACACCUGAGGUGGAGACGGGUUGCUGGGCUGACACUGACGCUGAGGCGCGAAAGCUAGGGUAGCAAACGGG
rnacentral:rRNA from 1 species